rnacentral:rRNA from 1 species
GACGAACGCUGGCGGCGUGCCUAAUACAUGCAAGUCGAACGCUUCUUUCCUGCCGAGGGCUUGCACUCAAUUGGAAAGAGGAGGGGCGGACGGGGGAGUAACACUAGGGUAACCUACCCAUCAAAGGGGGAAAACACGUGGAAACAGGGGCUAAUACCGCAUAACAGUUUAUGCCGCAGGGCAUAAGGGUGAAGGGCGCUCUCGUGGGUGGAUGAUGGACGGACCCGCGGGGCAUUAGCUAGUUGGUGUGGUAACGGCUCACCAAGGCAACGAUGCAUAGCCGACCUGAGAGGGUGAUCGGCCACACUGGGACUGAGACACGGCCCAGACUCCUACGGGAGGCAGCAGUAGGGAAUCUUCCGCAAUGGACGAAAGUCUGACCGAGCAACGCCGCGUGAGUGAAGAAGGUUUUCGGAUCGUAAAACUCUGUUGUUAGAGAAGAACAAGGACGUUAGUAACUAAGCGUCCCCUGACGGUAUCUAACCAGAAAGCCACGGCUAACUACGUG